AUAAACUCUGAUUUACUGUUGAAACUUUGGUUCAUGAAGUCGCACUCAAUCACAGAACAGUGUUUAUAUGAAUGUUGGUCAGUCAGUGUGUACUGUAAGUGUGUAAGUGUGUGUGUGUGUGUGUGUGUGUGUUCAGUGUGGCAGCGGCGAGAGACGAGUAUCUUCAGAGGAGACGUGAAGCCCAUCAGUACAAACUCAGAGCUCAGAAACAACUGGGUCUCAGACCGUCCACAGCAGACGCUGAAGGCCGUCAGACAAACCCACAGGAGCAUCAUGGGAACGUCAGAGCGGCUCAGGACAGGAGACUGCAGGGACAGGAGGAGUAUCUGAAGCAGCUGCGGCGAAUCAGAGAGCAGUAUCAUCAUGAUGUCAGACGGAUGAGGACGAGGGCAGAGCUCGAGGAGCGUCUGACAGCAGAAACACACACACUGAAGAAGAAC